rnacentral:lncRNA from 1 species
AAAGAAUCAAUCCAGUAAUCACCAAGCAUUUCUUAAGUACUAGAAGGCUCCAGGCACUGUGCUAUGUGCUUGAGAUGGAAAGACAGAUGCGCCCUCCUGCCCUCAGGGAGCUUCCAUUCUAAGAGGAGAGACAAUCUCUAUGCAUGUAGGUGGGGGGAGGACCUGUAGGGCUUUCUGCAGAAGGUGGCGCUCAAGGGAAUUCUUGAAGAAAAUGAAGGGUUACAGGAGACAGAGCUGAAGAGGAAAUGCAUCCCAAGCGUAGGGGUCAGCCAAUGCAAAGGCAAAGAGGUGGGAGAUUCAAUACUAUCAACUGAGCAACAAGCAUUGAUUAAGCGCCUAUGGUUUAUGACUCAGUUCUGGGUAUGCAAAGAGAAAAGGAGAUUACAGUCUAAUAGGAUUCUCACAAUGCCCUGGAUAAAGAACAUCAGGAAACUAGAAGAGCAUUUACCUGGACCAGAGUUCGUGGAGGAAGGAGUGUGUGAAGAGCUUUAGGUCUCAGGAUUUAGAUUGUAUCUUGGAUGGAAAAGGAAGCCACCACGGUUUACUGAGCAUCGCACAGGGCGUCCUUCUUUCUGCCACCUCCACUGCAGACUCUGUCCUCCCCUGCCGUCCCACAGUCGCCUUGCCUGGGGCUCUGCUGGAGGCAGCCACUUGUCAAACUGGACCAACGUAAGAGAAGGGUUGAGUGUGUUCAAGGAGCACACCCAGUCUGGCCUCAGACUCUCCUCCCCAUCCACUCUGAAUUUUCCUUGUGUGUGUGAGCCCCAGAGCCGUCAGGAACUCACCAAGAGGCUGCAGGAGAGAGGACAGCGGCCUUGGCUCCCAGCUCAGUCACUGCGGCCACGGAACCUGGAUGUUGGAUUCACAGGUGUGGCUCGGUGUCAAGAGGGAAGGUGGAUGCAGGAGUAAUUUUGCUAGAUCUGCUCUGUCUAAUUCCUGAAGCGGCGAUUCAAAAGAAGUUGCCGAUUAUCCAAGUUUCAAGCCCAGAAUAUUUGCUCAGUGGCUCAGCAUCUGUCUGGAGACAAAAAAGGUAAAGUAGAAUGAGUUUGUCCCUUCUCUGCCAACUCCUGCACCAGCUGUGAUAUC